GACGAACGCUGGCGGCGUGCUUAACACAUGCAAGUCGAACGGAAAGGCCCUUCGGGGUACUCGAGUGGCGAACGGGUGAGUAACACGUGGGUGAUCUGCCCUGCACUUUGGGAUAAGCCUGGGAAACUGGGUCUAAUACCGAAUAGGACCACGCGCUUCACGGUCUGUGGUGGCAAGCUUUUGCGGUGUAGGAUGGGCCCGCGGCCUAUCAGCUUGUUAGUGGGGUAAUGGCCUACCAAGGCGACGACGGGUAGCCGGCCUGAGAGGGUGACCGGCCACACGGGAACUGCGAUACGGCCCAGGCUGCUACCUGAGGCAUCAGUGGGGAAUAUUGCACAAUGCGCACGGUCCUGAUGCGCCGACUCCGCGUGGUGCAUGUCUGCCUUCGGUUUGUAAACGUCUUUCAAUAGGGACGCAGCGCUAGUGACGGUACCUAGAGAAGAAGCACCGGCCAACUCCGUG
rnacentral:rRNA from 1 species